GACGAACGCUGGCGGCGUGCUUAACACAUGCAAGUCGAACGGAAAGGCCCUGCUUUUGUGGGGUGCUCGAGUGGCGAACGGGUGAGAAACACGUGAGUAACCUGCCCUUGACUUUGGGAUAACUUCAGGAAACUGGGGCUAAUACCGGAUAGGAGCUCCUGCUGCAUGGUGGGGGUUGGAAAGUUUCGGCGGUUGGGGAUGGACUCGCGGCUUAUCAGCUUGUUGGUGGGGUAGUGGCUUACCAAGGCUUUGACGGGUAGCCGGCCUGAGAGGGUGACCGGCCACAUUGGGACUGAGAUACGGCCCAGACUCCUACGGGAGGCAGCAGUGGGGAAUAUUGCACAAUGGGCGGAAGCCUGAUGCAGCAACGCCGCGUGCGGGAUGACGGCCUUCGGGUUGUAAACCGCUUUCGCCUGUGACGAAGCGUGAGGGACGGGAAUGGGUAAAGAAGCACCGGCGAACUACGG
rnacentral:rRNA from 1 species